AUGUGGUUUGAGACAAAGUUCCACAGCUGGAAUUAUACACCUACUGUCAGAGUCUUUAUAGAACAGAUUGCAGACAUUCUAACAAAAUCUUUGCACUCGGGUCCUUUUGCUAGUUUGCAAGACAAGCUUGGAAUGAUUAAUGUGCAUUCCAAUUUGAGGAGAAUAAUAAUUGUGACAACAUUAGGAAAUUAG